GUUGGUCUUUUGUUUCUGUUCCUGUAAACUUUGAGGUUUAGGAUACUUUCAGAUGUAUGGAGCAGUUGCCAAGGAUCCAAGCCAAGCCCGGGCACCUCAGCCAGGGGUCACCUCGUUUUCCAUACCUGCUCUGGACCGAGGCCAGGCCUGAGAGGGCCAGACCACAUGAUUUUUCCGGCCUUAUUUGGCCCGCGGGCCGGACGUUCCCCACCCCUGGACUACAUCAUGCCCACCCAGGAAUCAGGCGCCACGUCCCCGACGGAGUGGACCCCUUCUUGCACAGCCGUGCACCUUCCUGCAUGAAGCCCCCUCUCAGCGCUUGAUCUCUGAUGGACACAUCCGUCAGGGUACGGCCACAGCCACAGGCCGCAGGGUCCUGUCCCUGGAAUGUUGGCGGGGACGGCCUGGGCUGGCCCUGGGGCAUUAAGGGGACUUGUGCCCUGAUGGCCCAGUCUCUGGGCUUGUCAGACCCCUAGGGGUGGCCGUGGUGGGUGGAGAGCCGAGAGAGGAACCCGGCCAGGCCCUGAACUUUGAAGAAAAUUCAACAUUUGUCCUGGAGUUCAUCGUAUC